rfam:Strongyloides venezuelensis genome assembly, scaffold: SVE_scaffold0000094
CCAACCAUAGCUCAGUUGGUAGAGCGGAGGACUGUAGAUUUGGUUGCUGAUAUCCUUAGGUCACUGGUUCGAAUCCGGUUGGUUGGA